UUCUAGGGAUGGAGUAUGGAUUUGUGUGCUGAUCAUAUAUUUAUUCAUCCCUUUGUUAAAGAUUUAUUGAGUACCUUUUCUGUGCUAGGCAGGGGUACAAAGAGACAUGGUCACUUUUUAUGUUCACAGGAAAUGUACCAUUUAGUGGUAAGAGAGGUAAACAGACAGAAAUAGUUCAAUGUGAGCCUUGCUAUAAUAGGGAAUAAAAAAAUAGAAAAGGGGCUUCUGGGUCAGCCUGGGAAAUUGCAGGAAUGCUUUACCCGGAAAGUGAUACUUAAGGAACAUGAGUUUUCCCAGCAAGUAAUGGUGGGGCGAAGUGGGAAGCGAUAGCUGGUAUUCUGAAGAACAGAAAUUGACUGAGGCUGAUUUAGGUAGAAAACUUACUGGAAGGAUAUGAAAUAGUCUAUAGACUUGCCAGGAAGGCUGCAAAGUGACUUUUGGAAGAUGGGAUAGGAGUAAGUUAGGCUAGGCAAAGUCCAAGAUCAAGGCAGAAUGAUGCCACGAAACUAGUUAGGGGUAGACACUACAGUGGCUGCUGCUGAAGAACUGCAAACCCCAAUUGCAGCCCUGGAGCUGCUACACUUAGCAAGCCCUGCAGCUGUCAUUGUGGCCUCUAUUCACCACCAGGUUGUAUCCUUACCCUUCUGCUUCUUUGCCUUAAUAGCUCCUAUAGAAAGUUGGGGAUGGGCACAUCUGAUUGGUCGGGUGAAGGUUGCAUGCUACCUCCUUAGCUGCAAGGGAGUCUGGGAAGCAACUAUGUGCGUCUUUUUAAGACUAGGGGUGUGGGGGCAAGUAUGGACCAUUGUCUCACAUCUAGAUUCAAAAGGGGGAGUUUCCGUCAUGGCGCAGCAGAAAGGAAUCUGACUAGGAACCAUGAGGUUGUGGGUUUGAUCCCUGGCUUUGCUCAGUGGUUUAAGGAUCCGGUGUUGCCAUGAGCUGUGGUGUAGAUUGCAGAUGCAGCUCGGAUCUGGUGUUGCUGUUGCUCUGGAGCAGGCUGGCAGCUGUAGCUCCGAUUCGAUCCUUAGCCUGGGAACCUCCAUAUGCUGCAGUUGCGGCCCUGAAAAGACAACAACAGCAACAACAACAACAACAACAAAAACAACAACAACAAAAAUAGAUUCAAAAGGAGAGCAGGUCCCCUAGAAAGGGAGGGAAUUCAGAGGAGGGGCAGGCCUCUUCUAAAGAAGGGAGAAAGAAUGAAGGCAAGAGAAGGAUUACAUACAGGUCAUUGUAUGUGGACAUGUAAAAAGUUUCCAAGGCAUGACCAUCAUAUAGUGCUGGGAGGCCUUCUAAUAACUCAAAGGAGAUGGGAGAGAAGGGAGUGAAGGCUGGGAAGGCAAACAGGAGACUUACUGUGAAGGCCAUAUGCCUAUAAGUUUUUGACUUUCCUGUAAGAAAAGUGUGGCAGAUACAGUUUGUUGCCCACUUAGUAUUCAUCCAUCUCUCUUCCUUACCAACAGAAUUCCAGUUUUGAAAUGGUAGCUACAAACCACUUACUUUCACUAGAAUUCCUCGUAGGUAGUGGUAGUCAUGUUACGCAGUUCAAGCAAAUGAGAUUUGAACUGAGGGUUUUUGUCUUUCUCCUUUGCAUCUGAAUACAGAUGCGGGGUCUGGAGAUUUGGCAACCAUCUUAGGACAAUGAGACAACAAGCAGGGGAUGAGGCUUAUGCAUUAAAAACAAAAGAUUAGAAAGCUGGAAAGAUCCCUGUUCCCUGUUUCAUCUGAGAAUUGCUAUUCCCAGGUUUCCUGAGACAAAUCCCUUAUGUGUUUAAGCCACUAAGGUUGGGUUUUCGGUUAUUUGCAGCUGGAUGUGAUCCUGACUGAAAGAGGGAAGGAGACCAGUUAGGAAACUAAUACAGUCAUUUAUAAGUGACUCAAAUGGGGGCAGAAGAAGAGGGGAUUGGGCAGAGAAGAUGGAUUGAAGAUGUGAAUGUGGUGAUGUAUGUGUUCAGUCAAGUCUCAAAUAGAAUGGAUGGAAUCUAAUUCAAGUACCCUUGAAAACUAUUCCUAGUCCUGAGAUGUCAGGGAACUCAGUAAGAACACCUGGAAAGCAUGGGGUGGGAGGGAGCAGAAAGGGAAUGUGCAGGGUCUCAAAGACUAACCUCACAAUUUCCUUUUAUUAUUAAAAAAAUUGCAGGAUCCAUAUACACAUUUGAGAAAACUCAGUUAAGCAAAAACUAUCUGUGAAGCAAAUUAAAAUCCUAUCAUCUAGAGAUAAUAAUUACUGCUAAAAUUUUUAUUAUUUCUUUCCAGUCCCCAUUUACUCUCUCUUUUUCUGUCAAUCUUGCCGCUUAAAUGAUUAAGAGAUUUUAUACAUGAUUUGUUCAACAAAAAUGUGAUCAUAAUAUAUAUUGUUUUCUACCCUGUCCAACUUUUUGCAUUUGGCAAUGCAUCUGGAAAGUCUUCCCAUGUCUUUGGUAAAAUUAAUACCGAAUACUAAAAUUGUAAAAUUAAUACAAUUGUGACUACAGGAAAAGUGUUUCAUUAUGUGGAUCUAUCUAUUGUGAUUUAGAAGUUGAACUUUUCAAAGGUUUUAUUAUCUCGAAUAUCACACCACUUUUUGGAUGUGGUGGGGGAACCCUUGAAGGUGAUUCUGAGAUGGAAGGUGAGGUAGCAUUAGCCCUGACAUCAGCUUUAAUGAGAUGAUAGCUUGUUCAGGCUGUGAUUGGUUGAAAAUUUCUGCAAAUAUUUAUAUUAUUUUUAUUUUGCAAACUUGUUCUUCAUGUUGAGGAACCAAUUCUAAAACUAUCAGCUUACUAAUUAGGAUAAAGGAGGACUUAUCGCAUAACAGUAGCCUUGACAUGUAUUGACUUUUCUGUAACACACUAAACUUCUCUGCAAUCAGGGAAAGAGUGAAGUCUGUAUCUGCAGGAAUCUUAUAAAGGAUGCAAAAAAGGCAACCACCAGGUAGCCUGGCAUUUCCGCAGCGAGCAGGGUUCGAACCUGCGCGGGGAGACCCCAUUGGAUUUCAAGUCCAACGCCUUAACCACUCGGCCAUCGCUGCUACGGCAAGAAAGUGAAGCGGAGGUACUUUAGUACAGAAACAGUGGUGCGCAGGCGCAGCAAACCCACAAGUAGGCGGGGCCUAGAACCGCGCAGAGGUCUGCUCUGAGAGGGGCGACUAGGGUUGCCUGCUCGAGUAGCGGGAUACCUAUUGAAAGUAAAGAAAUAAUAAAAACUCCGUUUAGCAGUUUAGGUAAAAGCCUUUAAAAGAGGGUUUUAGAAACCCUUCCCUUACCUGCUCUCUGAAAAUCGCAACCACACUUGGCUUCUGGUCCUUACUUGGUUUUUGCCCUCCCGCUUCCUCGGAAAGCUGUGAAACUAAGAUUAGAUCACUCGGAAAGCUGUGAAACUAAGAUACGUCUCAUUCAGUGCUGCGGGCCCGCACUCUGGAAAAUUUCUGCAUUUGCGUCAGAGGUUGAGCGUUUCCCGCGUUGAGCUCUCUUGCUGCGUCAAGAGAGGAAAGUGUGAGGGAAGGCGUACGGAAUCUGGCAGCUGCCUAUGCGCUCGCCUCUUUGAGCAUCCUGCUCACACAGUAAUCUCUCAUUCUUGUCUCCUCAAUUGCCCUUUCCUUGCUGAACCCUAGGGAAGAAACCGCGCCCCCUGAGCGUGGUCUCGGCUUUCUCAAGUGAUGGGGAGCCUUGGAGGUGAUUUGAGAACAAAGUUCGGCGCAUUAGGUCUGCAUUUAACCUUUAAAUGCUACUACCCGCCCCACCUUUAAGUGUAGCUUAUGCUCUAAAUGCUUAUUUGCGUCAUUGUUAAAGUUCUCAGAACCCGUAGUUGUGUGUACCACUGUCGCCCACCUCAGAGAGCUACGGCAGGGUGUGCGGCCCGAGGAUGCCCCGCGGAUUCCAGGGCGCAAGUGUACUUCUAAACGCAGCAAGUGGCUCCCCACAGGCAUCAGAUUCUAUUGCGGAUGGACAAUUUGCGAAAAACAUCAGGUGGCCUUUUACUAGUUAAAUUUCUGAAAGUGUUCCUAGAAAUCUGACCAUCCAUCGCAACGUUAGAUUUCAAACGAAGGCAGGAAGUCCGUAUGUUAAGUGACCUCAUUUGGUAGUUUGGGAAUUUUCUUGAGAUUUUUUUCAAUACCAUUUCUCUUAACUAAAUGAAGGUGCUAAGUGUCUAAACUGAUUUAAUUGUGGAAAGGGAGUAAAAUACUUGAGAAAUGUAAGAAUAAGUUUUAUCUAACUUAAGAUUUUGCUUUUUAGAAAUUUUACCCCUUUUUGUUUGUUUUUAAUUUGGCAGAGCUACACGGGUGGUCUCAAUUUCCUUAUGAAUACUGUAUGGGAGCAAAGUUAUUCCCGACAUUCAAAGGCAUGAUUUUUUAUCAUAUGUAUAAAGUUACCUGCACUUUUCCAGUAGAUGCCAUCUCAGAAGAGAGUUUUUUUUUUUUAAUGUUGUUCUUAGAUUCUACCUGUGUGCUGAGACAAGCUAUAAUUUAAUCUUAGUAUUUUACUGUAUCUUGGUUUUUUUUUUUUCUUUUCUCUUUUUAGGGUCUCACCUGCAGCAUAUGGAAGUUCCCAGGUUAGGGGUGGAAUUGGAGCUACAGCUGCUGGCCUAGGUCACAGCCACUGCAACAUGGGAUCUGAGCUGCCUCUGUAACCUACACCACAGCUCAUGGCAACUCUGGAUCCUUGACUCACUGAGCAAGGCCCGGGAUUGAACAUGCAUCCUUAUAGAUACAAGUUGCAUUCAUUUCCCCUGAGCCACAGUGGAAACUCCCGUUUCUUUUUAAUUUUACUUUAUUUUUAUUAUAAUAUAGUUGAUUUUCCAUGUUGUGUUAAUUUAUACUGUACAGCAUAGUGACCCAGUCAUUUGUGUGUGUGUGUGUGUGUGUGUGUGUGUGUGUAUGUAUCCUUUUUCUCAUACUAUCUUCCAUCAUGUUCCAUCCCAAGAGAUUGGGUAUAGUUCCCUGUGCUGUACAGUAGGAAGUCAUUGCCACCCUUCCCCUUGACAACCACAAGUCUAUUUUCUAUAUGUCUGUGAAUCUGUUUCUACUUUGUAGAUAUGUGCUAUGUUUUAGAUUUGUGCUAUGUUUUAGAUUCUACAUGUAAGUGAUACCAUGUGGUAUUUGUCUUUCUCUUUCUGACUUCACUUAGUAUGAGAAUCUCUAGUUGCAUGUAUCUUAAUUUUGAAGUCUUUCUUUAAUUCCUUUCUUCUGUAUAUUUGAAGGAUAAUAUUUACAGAAAGUUCUUACUCUUCCUUAACCUACUCUUCGUUUUAAGAAUUCUCCUCACUUGGCGAUUGCCUUGUGGUACAGUGGGAAGGAAUCUGACUAGGAACCAUGAGGUUGUGGGUUUGAUCCCUGGGCUUGCUCAGUGGGUUAAGGAUCCAGCGUUGCCUUGAGCUGGAGCCGUGGUGUAGGUCGCAUCCGUAGUUGGUGCUGAUGUGGCUGUGGCAUAGGGCGGCAGCUGUAGCUCCGACUGGACCCCUCGCCUGGGAAUCUCCAUGUGCCCCAAGUGCAGCCCUGAAAAGCGAGAAAAAAAAAAAAAUUCUCUUCACAAUUGCUUAAAAGCUUGGCAUUGAUGGGAAUUGAUUUCGAUUAAAGUAGUUCCAUCAAAAAUUCUACUGAGGGCUUUUUUCUUUUUUUGUUUUUUGAUAAGGGAAAAGAAAACUGCAAAAGAAAUGAAUCUAUUAGAAAGUUAAUUUGUAUUUGGUAAGAACAAUUGUGAUUACAUUUUCUUUGCAACAUUUCAGAAGUGAAAUAUCCUCAUUUAACAUUUAAUUUUCAGCUUCUUUGAAUUAAUGUAGGCUUUUCAAAAAGAUGAAAUUGCCUUUUCAAAUGAUUUAUCAUAUUGCUAAAAUGAGCCAAGAGAUCAGAAUUAUUAUAGAUUUUAUUCUCAAAAAGUGUGGAUUUCCAAAUGAGUUAUUUUCCAACCUUAGGUCUUUAGCAUUGCCAUUUAAUGCAGUGAGCGGCAAGUAGAAAAAAAGAAGUAAAAUAUAUAUCUUCCAACCCAGUUAAAAUAUAUUGUCAUUCAUGACAAUAACACCAUAAAACAUUGACUUAAAACCAUGGACAUUUUACUUUGAAAAAGUCCCCUGUGAUUCUGGUUGCCUUCUCCUCCAUGCCACCCCUAGAUUCUGUUCUUUUAAAUGAUAGUUUUUUUUUGUUAGUUUGUUUUUGUCUUUUUAGGGCCACACCUGAAUCAUGUGGAAGUUCCCAGGCUAGGGGCUGAGUCAGAGCCACAGCUGCCAGCCUACACCACAGCCAUCACAACGUGGGAUCUGAGCUGUGUCUGUGACCUACACCACAGCUCAUGGCAUUGCUGGAUCCUUAGCCUGAUGAGCGAGGCCAGGGAUCGAACUUUUAUCCUCAUGGAUACUGGUCAGAUUUGUUUCCCCUGAGCCACAGCAGGAACUCCUUUAUGUGAUAGUUUUUAUUAAGUUAAUUUGGGUAAGGAAGGCAAAUAUUGGUAGCCUUCACUCAAAAGCUUUCCCAAUGCCACUCUCAGAGGCAGAAUAUUGAGAGGUACGGGCGUGUGUUUAGGAGCAGUGUGGGGCAUUUCUUUGUUCUUUUAUAGCAAAUCAAAACUUAUUUUGCAAUAUUUUGGUGGGCUUUUCCCUGGAAUUUUAAUAAAUCAGAGUUUUAAUACUGGAAGAAACAUUAAACCUAGUCUAAUCCCUUUAUUCACAGACAGGAAACUAUUGGCUGUGAGUUACUUGCCCAAGGUCACAUAGCUAAUUAGUGGCAGAUUCAAUGAGAGGUGAUCAGAAUGUGGAAAUUUUAACUUAGCUGCCUUGUGUGCUUUCGUGCUUCAUUUGAAAGGAAUAGAGUUGGCAACACUGCAGAGUUUGAUAGGCUUAGCUACCAUUCAAGAUUCUUGGAUUUAAUUUUAUAUUGACUGGAGAAUAACUCUAGAUAUCCAUUUGUGACAAUGUAUGUGA
rnacentral:lncRNA from 1 species